ACCUGUCUGGUUCAAUCUGUAGAGCAUGAGACUCUUGAUCUUGGGGUCAUGAGUUCAAGUCCCACGAUGAGUG
rnacentral:tRNA from 1 species